GAAGAUUGUCCUCCGUCUUCGGUGUGCUUCUGCGCCCCGCCACCUGAGAAGGAUUUCACGAAUGUGAUCUUGUGCGGCUCCUCGGCGGAUUGCCUUGGCGAUUGCGUCGACUUACAGGAUGGACGGCGCUUGG
rnacentral:SRP_RNA from 1 species